rnacentral:lncRNA from 1 species
GCUGUAGAUGAGAUAGAGGAUGUAGUUGUAGACAGCAUGCUGUAGAGGAGAUAGAGGAUGUAGUUUGUUGUCUGGACAGCAUGCUAUAGAUGAGACAGAGGAUGUAGUUGUAGACAGCAUACUGUAGAGGAGAUAGAGGAUGUAGUUUGUUGUCUGGACAGCAUGCUGUAGAUGAGAUAGAGGAUGUAGUCUGUUGUCUGGACAGCAUCCUAUAGAUGAGGUAGAGGAUGUAGUUUGUUGUCUGGACAACAUGCUGUAGAGGAGAUAGAGGAUGUAGUUUGUUGUCUGGACAGCAUGCUGUAGAUGAGAUAGAGGAUGUAGUUUGUUGUCUGGACAGCAUGCUGUAGAUGAGAUAGAGGAUGUAGUUUGUUGUCUGGACAGCAUGCCGUAGAGGAGAUAGAGGAUGUAGUUUGUUGUCUGGACAGCAUGCUGUAGAUGAGAUAGAGGAUGUAGUUUGUUGUCUGGACAGCAUGCUGUAGAGGAGAUAGAGGAUGUAGUUUGUUGUCUGGACAGCAUGCUGUAGAGGAGAUAGAGGAUGUAGUUUGUUGUCUGGACAGCAUGCUGUAGAUGAGACAGAGGAUGUAGUUUGUUGUCUGGACAGCAUGCUGUAGAGGAGAUAGAGGAUGUAGUUUGUUGUCUGGACAGCAUGCUGUAGAUGAGAUAGAGGAUGUAGUUUGUUGUCUGGACAGCAUGCUGUAGAUGAGAUAGAGGAUGUAGUUUGUUGUCUGGACAGCAUGCUGUAGAGGAGACAGAGGAUGUAGUUUGUUGUCUGGACAGCAUGCUGUAGAUGAGAUAGAGGAUGUAGUUGUAGACAGCAUGCUGUAGAGGAGAUAGAGGAUGUAGUUUGUUGUCUGGACAGCAUGCUAUAGAUGAGACAGAGGAUGUAGUUGUAGACAGCAUGCUGUAGAGGAGAUAGAGUAUGUAGUUUGUUGUCUGGACAGCAUGCUGUAGAGAAGAUAGAGGAGGGAUUCGGUGUUUUAGUUUGGACAGAGUCAGGGAUCUACUUGGAACCAGGCCAUGUCCUGUGGUCAGGAUUAUAUUCCCAUUCCAAUGUGAUGGAUUAUACAAUCCUCAAGAUGCUCACUCAAGAUGCUCACAAAGGGUACACCUCCCAAAGUUGGCCCUGUGCAUCAUUUGGGGGUGCCUCCCAAAUAGCAUCCUAUUCACUAAUACGGUGCACAUCGGGGGACUUAUUCAAAAGCAGUUGAUCAUCGUGUGUGAAUCAGAUGGGACGUGGGUGAAUGAGGACAUUUUAAGCGAGAAGCAGUGUUCUGUGAAAUUAGCCAAGCGGUGUGUUUCUCUCCCCAAGUCCCCCGGCUCUUCAUUUAAACUGGUGGAGACUGAAGAGAGAGACCAUCCCAACGGACGGGUAUUCAAACCCUUAAGAAGAGGGGGUUAGAGGGUGGGCAGGGAGGUGGGGGGGAGGGUUGAGAGAGAAACAGAGGAAUAGAGAGAGAGACAGAGAGAG